rnacentral:rRNA from 1 species
CCUACGGGAGGCAGCAGUGGGGAAUAUUGCACAAUGGGCGGAAGCCUGAUGCAGCGACGCCGCGUGAGGGAUGACGGCCUUCGGGUUGUAAACCUCUUUCAGUAGGGAAGAAGCGCAAGUGACGGUACCUGCAGAAGAAGCGCCGGCUAACUACGUGCCAGCAGCCGCGGUAAUACGUAGGGCGCAAGCGUUGUCCGGAAUUAUUGGGCGUAAAGAGCUCGUAGGCGGUCUGUCGCGUCUGCUGUGAAAGCCCGGGGCUCAACCCCGGGUCUGCAGUGGGUACGGGCAGACUAGAGUGCAGUAGGGGAGACUGGAAUUCCUGGUGUAGCGGUGAAAUGCGCAGAUAUCAGGAGGAACACCGAUGGCGAAGGCAGGUCUCUGGGCUGUUACUGACGCUGAGGAGCGAAAGCAUGGGGAGCGAACAGGAUUAGAUACCCUGGUAGUCCAUGCCGUAAACGUUGGGCACUAGGUGUGGGGGACAUUCCACGUUCUCCGCGCCGUAGCUAACGCAUUAAGUGCCCCGCCUGGGGAGUACGGCCGCAAGGCUAAAACUCAAAGGAAUUGACGGGGGCCCGCACAAGCGGCGGAGCAUGCGGAUUAAUUCGAUGCAACGCGAAGAACCUUAC